rnacentral:misc_RNA from 1 species
ACGAAUAUAAAUCGAAGGGGUUGUCGCUGGCCUUGGAAACGAGGCAUGUGCACGCUCUUUCGUAUUUCUCAACUCUCACCUGUGCACCUAAUGUAGGAUGCCUCUCCUCCGGGAGGGGGGACCUAUGUCUUCAUAUACCUCUUCGUGUAGAAAGUCUUAGAAUGUUUACUAUCAGAGAGUCGCGACUUCUAGGAGACGCGGAUCUCUGAGAUAAAAGUUAAUUA